GACGAACGCUGGCGGCGUGCUUAACACAUGCAAGUCGAACGGUGAAGCGCCUUCCUUUUUAGUGGGUGUGGAUGAGUGGCGAACGGGUGAGUAACACGUGAGUAACCUGCCCCCUUCUUCUGGAUAACCGCAUGAAAGUGUGGCUAAUACGGGAUAUUCUGGGUCUGUCGCAUGAUGGGUCUGGGAAAGAUAUUGUUUCGGUGGGGGAUGGGCUCGCGGCCUAUCAGCUUGUUGGUGGGGUGAUGGCCUACCAAGGCGGUGACGGGUAGCCGGCCUGAGAGGGUGGACGGUCACACUGGGACUGAGACACGGCCCAGACUCCUACGGGAGGCAGCAGUGGGGAAUAUUGCACAAUGGGCGCAAGCCUGAUGCAGCGACGCCGCGUGAGGGAUGGAGGCCUUCGGGUUGUGAACCUCUUUCGCCAGUGAAGCAGGCCUGCCUCGUUUGUGGGUGGGUUGACGGUAGCUGGAGAAGAAGCGCCGGCUAACUACGUG
rnacentral:rRNA from 1 species